GACGUAGGGCGCGAGCGUUGUCCGGAUUUAUUGGGCGUAAAGAGCUCGUAGGCGGCUUGUUGCGUCGACCGUGAAAACCCGGGGCUUAACUUCGGGCUUGCGAUCGAUACGGGCAGGCUAGAGUUCGGUAGGGGAGACUGGAAUUCCUGGUGUAGCGGUGAAAUGCGCAGAUAUCAGGAGGAACACCGGUGGCGAAGGCAGGUCUCUGGGCAUUAACUGACGCUGAGGAGCGAAAGCAUGGGGAGCGAACAGG
rnacentral:rRNA from 1 species